CCCCUUCCCCCCGUGCUUGCUUUGGUCUGUUCCAUUGGCGCACUUUGCCAAAGAUGGUCAUUUGCGUUGCAGGACGAAACCCAUAAAUGACAAAUGAGAUGACCAGAAAAAACCUGGAAAGAUCUAUAUGAAAUGAUGCAAGGUGAAGUGAGCAGAACCAGGAGAAAGUGGGGCACGGUAACAACAGUGUACAAUCAUCUAUGAAUGAAUGACUGUUCUCAGAAAAGCAAAGAUCCAGGACCACGCCAAGAUCGGUGAAGAAAAAGACUAUCCUCUGCCACGGGGGAAACAGACCAAGUCUGAAUGCACGUGGAAACAGCCCAUUCUUUACUUUAUUUCCUCCGUGAAUUUUUUUCUCUAGUGUAGGCAAUAUGUGUCUUGUUUCACAACAUGAUGGACAUGGAAAUAGAUAUUGUAUGAUCAUCUGUGUAGAACCGAUAUCCAAUUACCUGCCUUCUUGGGGAGGGAGGAGGAGUGGGACGGAGAGAGAGAACAUGGAUUGAAAAAUGUCAGAAAAUGAAUAUUACAAAUGGUAUUGACAUGUCACCUGAAAAAAUUGCAUUAUUAAAAGAAAAGAGAAAAUAUGAAAA